rnacentral:lncRNA from 10 species
GACUCUCGCGUUGCCCCCUGGGUGGGGCGGGUAGGUGUGGAAACAGGAAGAGAACUAGAACUGGAAGUAAAGCAUUGAAGAUGUGACUGAAUUGCUGCAAUCUCAUGAUCAAAUUUGAAUGGAUGAGGAGUUGCUUUUUAGGGAUGAGCAAAGAAAGUGGUUUCUCGAGAUGGAAUCUACUGGUGAAGUUGCUGUGAACAUUGUUAAAAUGCCAAUAAAGGAUUUAGGAAUUACAGAAACCUGGUUGAUAAAGCAGUGCCAGGGUGUGAGAGAGUUGACUUCAAUUUUGAAAUAAGUUCCACUGGCUGGGUGUGGUGGCUCACACCUGCAAUCCCAGUACUUUAGGAGGCCGAGACUGGUAGAUCAUUUGAGGUCAGGAGUUCAAGACCAGCCUUGCCAACAUGGUGAAACCCCACCUCUACCAAAUUAGCCAGGUGUGGUGCACACCUGUAGUCCCAGCUACUUGGGAAGCUGAGGCAGGAGAAUCUCUUGAACC